AGGUUUACCAAAUUAUAGAUCUAAGAAGUUUGCAAUGACUAAUAAUUGAAUGUGAGAACGAAAAAUAAUCCUAUGGCAUCCAUACUACUUAUCACUACUACUAAUUCAUGUAAAGAUCAUGAAUUGUUGACGAAACCACAAAGAGGCAGCCAACCAUACUAUUUAUCAGUAAUACUAAUUGUUGUAAACAUCAAGAAUUGUUAUCCCGGUAAUCUUCUGUCGUAAGCUUAUUAGCUGGACAAUUAUAAUGAGCAAUUGUCGGGUACCAAGGACCAAGGACGUGAAUAUUUGGAAAUAGACAUAUUGGUGAAAGAAGAGUGGCACUGAAUAUGCAAGAGGCUGUGGCCAUUGACUCUAAGGGACAAGUGCAUAAGUCCAAUCGCUCAAGUUUUUGAGAAAAGAUCAGCUAGAUGAAGAGGAGGUUGCUCUAUGUACAAAAUCCUCUAGAGCAUCUGCCCAUCUCCUCUGAUCCUCUCUCAGGUGGUGACUCGGGCAGUAUGGCCGCGCGCCUACCAGUCUCCAAAUAUGCUCAAAUCAAUUGACCAUCGCCAACAACAUUACCUAUAUGUACAAAUUGGAUUGGAAGUAUGUCAGGACAAAGAAAUUGUUUUGUGGAAAAAGGAAUCGUACAUGAAAAUGAAAUAAAUAUAGGGGGACCUGGUGUAUUGUUGUUCCCAUACAAAUGUCCUCUUGUACAGUGCCCUCCAUCACCUCCAGCCUGAAUUAUGCAGUUGCUGGAGCACCAUCGAGAAGAACAGGUUGCCCUACAAGAGUACCCUGUACAAGAAGAAGAGAGGAGGAUUAAAUUAGAAUAGGCGUUGAUCCACCGUCGCCGGCUAGGAGCAGGAUGAGACGUCAUCCGCUCUACCGCCACCGUUGCCGCCAGAGCUAUGGAUGUAGAUAUGUGUUCCAAAGGCCAGCGGCCCAUGCCGCACCCUCGCCCCGCCCAGCACCACCCCACGCGGGUUCCAUCGCCGCAACCUCAGCGGAGGCGUUGCCGGCUCGUUGCCGCUGCCGCCUUCAGGACCUGAGAGAGAAGGGGAGGGAAGAUGAGCAAACUGACCAGGCAGCCGCUCGAGCGUCGGAUCCCCUCAUACGCCUCGCCUUGGCUGGAUCCCCUGGACCGCCGGUUGCCUCGCACGCGUCUCGUUGGCUCCCUUGAGCGCUAGAUCCCUCUUGCGCGGCUGGCAUCCGCUGGAUCCGGUCG
rnacentral:lncRNA from 1 species